rnacentral:tRNA from 1 species
UCCCAUAUCGUCUAGCGGUUUAGGAUCCGUGCUUUUCACGCACGUGGCCGGGGUUCGAUUCCCCGUGUGGGAA